UCACCACCACCCCUACUUGCCCCCCCUCUCUCCCCCUCAGGCUUUUAAAAAUAAAUGCUGUCAGAAGACAUUUGCGCCCAACUUUCUUUAACAUGUGAUAGUUACGUGAAUUCCUACUAUUUUGCAGGCCCUACUGGCUCUACCAUUCUGCGUAGCAGAAGUUCACUUUCUGCUAAAUUGUUUUUUUCUAGGACAAAAAAGGAAACAUCCACUCCCUGAAAGUGUAUUUCAAGUUAGUUUAAUUAACCUCUAUAACAGUAAUCACUGCAAAAGUGACAAGCAGCAUAGAAAAUUAGAAGUGCCUUUUUUAAGUGGCAAAUGUAGAGCCUACAGCUUUUCAUCUGUUGUCUGUUGUCCUGUCACUUGGAAAAGCAUAUGCUUCAUGUAAUACAAGUUUAUAGAUAUAUCUAUCAUAGAAUCAUAGGCAUCAUAGAAUGAUUUGAGUUGGACAGGAUCUUAAAGCUCACCCUGUUCCAACCUCUGACAUGGGCAGGUUGCCACCCCCAGCUCAGGCUGCCCAGGGCCCAUCCAACCUGAUGCUGAGCGCCUCCAGGAAUGGGGCACCCACACCUUCUCUGGGCAGCUGUGCUAAUUGAACCAUACUAGGUUCAUGUGGGACCACUCCUCAAGCCUGUCCUGGUCUCUCUGUGUGGCUGGAGUCAUGGACUCCAUUGCUGGUGCAGAACAAAGACCUUUAUUGUAUGUGCUUACAACCUCGUAUACCCAUGCAACAACCCCUUGGUCACAUGUACCAACCAGCUUUUUUACUCAUUUGCAAGGUAAUGACUUUCUUUGUCCCACAUCUCUGGAUGACUUCAGUCGUAUCAUCAGCACCAUUCAGUUUAGUGUCAUCAGCAAACUUACUGAGUGUACACUAUCAAGACUGUUCAUAAAGAUGUUAAAGAGCAAUGAUCCCAAUAUGAAUGUCUGAGGGAAGCUGUGGAGCAUGGAUGUUUCCCUUUUCAUGGACCCAAGGGAGUUUGUGGCAGUGAAAUAAUCAAGAGAAUAAAUUAAUUUUCUUCACAGUUUAUUAGGACUUCGACUGUGAGAGGCUGGAAUUGUGGAGGGUUUGUUUAGAGUUAUUUUUCCAUGAACUCAGACUUUUAGCGGGUGCCUCCUGGAUGGCACACAAGUGACACAUUUGUGACUGCACAAAACUAAUAGACAUAUCAGAACUCACACAUUAGUCAUGCUUAGAUUGAUAAUACUUGCAAAUGUGUCUUAUUGUGAGGCUACAUGAAAUGAAUUUUCAUAGGUUAGCAUUGUCAUUUUUAAUUGACAAUUACGAACUCUAAUAUUCACUUAGAAUACAGAAUAUUUAACUUAAUUGGACAUUUUGAAUUCUUUAAUAUUUUGGUGGUUUUGCUUAAACUAAUGGACCUUAGGAGUUUUUGUGCUUAUGCAUACUGCUUAUUGCUCAUCAGCAGUUUCAUCUAAUCCUAGCAUCUCACUGGGUUCAUGUAAGCAGAAUUCCAUUAUAACAGUUUGAGGCCAGAGCUGGACUCCUUCUGUCUUAGCUAAGCAAGUUGUUUGAGAAAGAAUUUGCUUAAGCCGGUCAGACAGAGCAGUAGUGACAAGGAACUUCUGAACCCACAGCCCGCCUCCAGUCGCCCUGCAUAUGCUUAUGCAGGAGCUAAUGUACAUUUCAUUCAUCUUCAUGCUAAUAUGCUAAUUAGAGGUGUUUUCAGGCCAGGGAGCUUUGGCUCAGGCCUCAGAAGCUGGGAUGACUUCAAUAGAUAAGGUGGAGGUAAUGGCCUUCUGCUGCAAGGUGGAUUACUUCUGUUGCAUCAGCAGUUUUAAUUCUUUUUGAUCCUUGUUGUGGCUUUUUGAUGCUAUGAUGCUCUUUUGAAACACUUGGAAUGCAUUGUGUGCUUGCUGCAGACAUGGCUUUCAUUGCUAUUUGCCUCUGCAAUAUCACUUUUUCACACAACAAAAGAAAAAAGAAUGUUUUCUGUAUGAAUUGAAGAGGCUUCUGCUACUCUGCCUCACUGAUAAAUGCCUUUAUGCAGAAUUACACCCUUACACAUUUACCUUUCUGUUUCAGAUAUUUCAGUGCACUUGUUCUGUUCCUGAGUUACGCAGUCUAUAGAGUCAUUUGUAUGUCUGUGUCCAUGUAGACUAAAUCCAACAUAAAGGGCCUGGGUGCAGCGCAAUGAAGGGAGAGUUCUGUGAUCCAGCAUUUGCUGAUGGCUUCGUGGUGAGUGUGGAGUCCCUCAUUUGUGGGUGACGAAGCCUGAAGCACUUAUGAUGCCCUGAAGCACCAUGAAUGAACUGGAGGGAUAAAUGUAUUCCAUGCUGUCAUUUUCCAUAUUAGUAUGUAAUCUUUCUGCCAGACAUCAUUAGCAGUACUAGCUCACUGCUGUCUAGGGAAUUCCCAUAAAAUAUAAUAAUUAUGCUGAGCCCCCAGCUAAUGUCACAUCCACCCCUAGGUUUAAGGAACUUAACCUAGUUUUACAGAUGCUCUUCCCUAACUGCAGGUGCUGAAGUGUCAUUAGAAACAGGAAAGCAAAAAUAUUAUUUUGGGCUGACGGAUAAUCCAGAAAUGUCAUUAAUUUGCAUGGCCAGACAAAAGUGACCAGGUAAACUCAUUGUGCAAACCAAGAACAUACUUCACUAUCAUAGUCAUGUACUGCUCUGUCAGCCUCUGUUACACCUGCAAGCUAUGGUGCAGCAUUGACAAAAAUGCUGAAUAGCUUUGGGACAAAAACUAGUCCAUGGGGUAUCCUAUUCGAGAGGCUCCUCUUUGGUUUCUUUGUACUGACUAAUCUUGAAAUAUGGAAUCUGAGUCAGAUUCAAAUCUGAACUGGCAGAUUCCUUGGUUUCAGCUAGUAUCUGUGUAAGAGAUUAUUCUUUUAUAUGAUUGACUCAAAGUCUGCUGAGGAACAAGUCCAGGCAAGUCCUGGGCAAAGGCAGAGAAAUCUUCUCUCUGGAGGACAUUGAUGGACAGGUCCUGGCUAAGGGUUGUGAAAUCCUUUAAGGAGUACAGAUGGACAAGGCCAGGGGCAACAACAGAGGGAUAAGCUGCUGCUAAUGGCCGGGAAACGGUCUUUUUGUGUGGACUUAUCUCGAGGAAGAUGGCCAUCUCAGGAGGUAUGCACAUGACUCUUGCUCAAGCACCCAGGGAUGUCACGUAGGCAGCAGAAAAUGGAGGAUAAAAGAGGGUCCAACAACCAAGAGAUUUGAGGGGUUUUCUGCCAUCUGAUCUCUCACCGUGACAGACGUGAAGGGUUUCGGCCAUCAGAUCCCUCACCACGACGGACACGAGGUUUCUGCCUUCAGAUCCUUCUCUACGGACCGUAUGCUGACGGACUUCCCUGGGCCUGCUACCUGAGACCUGCUGCUUCCUCCCUGACUUACUCUGCGGCUUCUUCCUGGACCCACCCGGUACCUGCACCCUCUCGCUGCCCAAGACCGGCCUCGCUGCUCCUGCCCUUCGGCCUCGGACCGUCGUAACGUCGUGCAACGGGACUGCUGCCGGAUCCUGGUGGGUUGGACAAAGGCAUGCACAAAAUCUGUGAACAUUUUCUCCCAGAUGAGUUCUGUGGUGCCUACUAUCCAGGAAGACUCCCAGAAGCAGCUGUGGAGGUUUUUUCUCAAGAGUUUAACCUAUUUGAAUGGAAACAGAAAAGGAAAAACAAAAGGCACAUUUUCGUCUUUCUGCUAUGCUACUUCUAUCAUGCUGAAGGAAUUCAGAAUGUAUCCAGCUGGCAAGUUUCUUUUCUGGGUCCUGUCAUUGGAAGUCACAACACUUUGUUAAAGCAUUUCUUAAAAAGAAUUAAAGGUAACAUUUUGCCUUCCCAAUUUUUCAAAGCUUUGUAUUCUGUAUAUUAGACAUUUGGAGUUCUGUAUGUGUGAAUAUAUGGUAUAAUAGAAUCUAAUCCUAGGCACAAUUAAGAUCCACAGGAUUAUUUUCCUUUGGCCUCCCUGGACACAUCCCUGCUGUUUCACACGUCACAUGGAAGUAAAAUAGUAUUUGUCACUGGUUGCUAACUGUUGCUGAGGUUACAAGUUUCUAACUGAAAUAAGUGCUCUCCAGCAGACCUAUUACGUGAUAGCAGCUGAAGUGUGGAUGGAGAAACAGAAAUUAAUGUACCAUAGUACCAUUAAUUAAUGUACCAUAUUUAUUUCCCUUCCUUAAUUUUACAUACUGAACUAAAAAAGUUCAGUAUUAACUAAAAAAGUUAAUAUUCAUCUAUUCAUCACAGGGAAAAGGUCUACUAGUGAUUUAACAUUGUUUUGUGGUAAUUGAUUCAAUUGAAUUAAAAAUAUUUAUUCCAGAAUAUGAUUAUUUGAUUCAGUAAUAUUUUCCAAGGUGUUUAUUCCCAAAUAAUAGAAAUAUUCUUUGUUAGAAGUACCGAACAGUUUUACUGUGUGGAUGAAUUAUAGGGACUUAAUCAGAGUCACAUGAAGUCUUUACUGGAGCAAGGAAUUUAUUUAUUUUAAAGAAUAAUUUAUUUCAAGAUAAAAUUAGCCAGUGUGAAUUACUAAGAUUACCUUUGUAAGAGUUAAGAAUCAUAGUCAUAUUUUAUGGCAUAUGUUUUGAAUACGUGUUUCAUAUUGUUGUAUACGUUCUUAAUCCAUUUAGAAAAGGAAUUGCAUAUAAUCGAUUAGUAACUGUGUGCAGUUAAUCGAUCCCUAUAUGAAGUUUUCUGCCACAGGUGAGCAUUUGGAUGUUACUUAUACUAACAUAUCACAAUUUUAAAAUCUUCCUACUCUUCUGGACAACUCGUGAACAUCACUGAGUUGCUCCCCUAACAUGCACUUUGUUUGGAGAAGGAGUGAUAAAGCUAACACACCUGACCUUUGUCAGUUUUGUCCAUUAGUGGAUCACUGUAUCACCUUUACAGUUCAUUUGACCUGCUGGUAAAAAAUUCAGUGUAAGAAAAAUGCAUAUGUAUCUGCUUCAACAUGCACUGAAAUUGCCAAGAAUUUUUCUGUUGGCUUAAUCUGAAAAUAGUUCUCUCACUACUUGUGGAGGCUGUGAGAUUGUGCAUAGUUUAGAAUGACCUCAUUAAAAUCAAUAGCACUCUACUGCAUGUACUGUUUUUAAAAUUUCACUCCCGUUUUUAUCUGCAGUUUGUCCACACAUUCAUAGAAUCAUAGGAUGGUUUGGGUUGGAAGGGACCUUUUUCCCACCUCCUGAAGAAAUGCUCUUAAGAUAUAAGGAGAGAGCAUCCUCUCCACUCAGGAAGAACACAUCAGAAAUAAAAUGCUAACUGUAUUUACGUUAGAGUUCGUGAUGAAAUAAUGAACUAUUUGUCAUGGAGUUAUCUAGAUCAAUCUAGAUAAAUCUAUGUCCGUGAAGGGGGCACUAGGUCUGUGGGCUCCCUGGCUCCCCAAAAUGGGAGGGGAAAAGGGAACGGGGUAGGGGAAUGGGAGCUGGGCUCAGAGAGGGAAAAAGAACAGAGCAGUGACAAUGAUCUAAGGAGGAAAACUUAUUUUACUAACUAUGAUAUUGGAAUGCAAGAUAACACAAUAUAAUGCAAUCUAAUUGAAAGUAAGGGUAAUAAAUCAAAUAAAAAAAGAGAGAGAAAGUUUCUGAAACUGCAAGGCCUACUUGAUGAAGGUGCAUGGCUUGGAAGCACACCCACCCUUCUACGUGGCUACCAGAGAGAGAGCAUGAGCCUGAUCCCGUGACUCAAAUCUUGUGAUUUCUGUGACGUAUCUUCCAUCUCUGACUGUGAGGUCCUCUGGGAUACGUAGAUCUUCUUCUCUUUUGAGAAGCACGUAUCUGGAAGGUUGUCAAUCCAUGGAACUGGAGUAUUAACCCUUUAAUUACCUGUGCUGUUCAUGAUGUUAUGAAGUGGAAUACCAGUAGCAAAAUUACAAAACCAUGACACUAUUUCACUCCUUCAAGAAAAACAAAUGCAAUCCUUGUCCCAGACAGCUUGUUCUUUAAGUAUAAAACAGGACCCAUGAUCUAGGUUCUGAUCUGUCGGGAAGUUAUCACCCCCACACCUAAGAACUAUCCAAUUUUUCUCCCUUGGGGCUUGGAAAUGUGAAAACAGCCAAGUUCUCAGCUGAGUCACACAAAACUAUUUGACUAUGGGUUGCUAGAAAAUGGAUGAGAUAAUCAGAUGUAAGCCAAAUAUUGUUGUGUCUUUUUUUUUUUUUGUAAUUUUUUUUUAAUUUAUUUUUCUUUUUUUUUUUUUUUUUUUAGUGAAAGUAAAAAUUCCUUUUCUGUCCAGGACUAUAACUUCUUUUCUUCUGUAGACAUUAUUUUAUGUCAAGGGCCAGUGCCAGUGAAUAUGCAGACAGAACAUGAAUACUUCUAGCUCUAACUGUUGUGCUGACAACUGCACAUUCAUGAAAUUAUGAUAAGAAAAAUGCUACUAAUUAAUGGUCAGUACUACCAUGUGGAAAAAGUUAUGGAAGUUUUACUAAGUUGUCAGUUCAGCUGAAAUGCUAUAGAAGAGUAUAAACAUUUCUGACAAAAACAUUUGUAAAACAAUUUUGUUUAUUUUUGUAUAAAAUAAAACAACGGAUUUCCUUGCCUCUUCUAGUUCUUCCCUAGUGGAGAUUAUGGUAAGGAAAUGGAAAUUAUUUUCAUACUGAAUAAAAUAAAAUUUGCAUGAAACUAUUUUCCAAAAGGAUUUUCAUUUUCUUUGUAAAACUCAUAUGAAGCCACGAUUAAGUUCAGCAUGAAAAAUAUAGUUCUCUUACUGGGUAAUUUAUUAACUAUGAGCUCUAGAAGGAGUCUGAAAAGCAAGUUUUUGAGAGCUAGAAUGAUUUAUGAAAAAUGUGACAUAAAUUCACACAGAGUAUAAACAAUACAGUUAUUACUAGGCUGAGAGAUUUUCCUACUGCCUUUUAAAAUUACAUUGAAAUUUUUCUUCAGACCUCACUCCAGGGGUCCAGGCAUUGACUUCUGAGAAAUUUAGGUUAAACAGAAAAAAAGGAAGAAAUUUUAUUCCUGCUGUGAAUUCUAACAAGAUCACAUGUAUUCCAUCAGUUAGCUACCCAGCUACAGAGGAUAUCUUGUGGAUAUAUUCUAUGGAGUAUUGCGAGAUGAUAUCAAAUAUCAAAUAAAGGAAAAAAGAAAGCAGAGAAGACUUAGCUUUUCCAAACUUGGUAUUUCAAAAUGAAGCCUAUUAGGAACUGAAUUUGUAUCUCUGAAGUUUUCUGUUCUGGAGUAAAUCUGUAGUAAUUCAUUUGUUUUUAAUGAAAGUUUAGGAAUUCAGGGCUAAAGUGGGAGGGAAGAAUGAGACCCACUGUAUGAGAGUGACAAAUCACUUUUACAUUUGCACUGAUAUGUUUAUAAACUUCUGUUUUGGAUAUCUGGCACACAUAUGCAUGUGUUUGUAUUGUUUUUCCUUUGCAAAGUACUCAAGGGAAGCAUGAUAGAUAUAUAUGGUUUAUCUAUAAAAUGUGAUCAAAUGUAAAGUGCCUACAUAUUUAUAUAUUCAAGGAUGCCUAAAUUUAUGUAUUGCUUAUAUUUAAAUGUAUAAUUGUAUGCACAUUUAUGUUCAUAUGUGACACGUGUAUUGCAUACAGUUGAUUAACCAUAUUUAGACAACAGACUUAAUGUACUUGGUCAAUGCAUUCAGAUUAUUUAUGGACAUUUGCGUACAUAGGUACGUUCGGCUAAUGCUGUCUUAUUCUGUCUUCAGAAGCAGUUUUCUGAAGGCUGCAGAGAGCCCGUGGAGGACUUAGUAGCUGAGGCAAAGCCUUAUAAUCACAAAUUGUAUGAAAUUGUGUCUGUACUUUAUUUUAUACUACACUGAACAAGGAUUGAAGUCAGAUUCCAAAUGGUGUAUUGUUCCUGAGUUGAAGGCUUUGACUGACAAACUUAAGACAUGGAAAAUAAACAGCAGGGAGAACAGCACCCAUCCUUGGCAUUGACCCCAUCCUUGUGUGGAAAGCAUCUCUAACACCAUCCCCUCAAGGCACCAGCCAAGCAUUUGAAGCCUCAACAAUAAAACUAGUUCUGAACCUGAUUCUUGUGAAGAACCGCUUUCCUUUGGAGGAAAAUUAUAUUCAACAAACAAUGUAAAAGAAGAAGCUACCCUUUCUGUUCAAAACUAAUCGGAGAUGCAGUGGCUUUAGAAAAAAUCCCUGGUUAAAAAAGUUGGAAGCAGAUGCUUUGUCCAUUGCAGACUUGGCUUGUGGAAGAAGUGCCGUUUUGUGGCUGGCUCAGGCAGAGUGAAGCGAGACUGCUCAGGCUGACUGGACAGGCUGGGGCAUCUGAAGUCUCCCUGCUGGAGGUGGCUGUGCUUCCCAUGACCUCCAGCAGCUGAAGUCAAUACCAGCAACUUCCAUCCAUGCCCACAGUGUAUGAGGGAAAAAAUAGCACAAGGGCCUUGCCCACUGUCAGCACCCUUUGUUUUUCCUGCAGGUCCACAACAUGAUUCCUUGAGAUUAGCCAUGAAUUUCACGCUCUGAGCUGAUCAAUUCAGUCAAUUUACUCUUUUGAGUAAAUUGAUUCUGUGGAACAAAGGGAUCUGCUGGUGGGGCAGUUCCUGGGAAAGCAGCAGGCCUAUGUAAACAGCCCCAUCCGUGCCUCGGUGCUGAGCUCCUGUGCCAUAUGGUGCCACUAUGAACUUAUUAACUGGAGGAUUAACUCAGCCCAUCAUUUGGGUUCCCCAGCUUCCAGCUGGGAGAGUUAUUGAUGGUCUAGCUGCUGCUCUAGCCUUGGAAGUUAUUCCCCCCAUUUAACAGAGUCAAGAAGACAGAAAAUUGCCCCCUUUGUAAAUGCUAAUCUCACCACUCCUUCCAACAACCAAUGCAGCAAUUUGUUCCAGGCAAAGUCUUAAAAUUGGUAUAGUACACAUCAAAUGCAUAGUAAUUAGUGAUUUCUUUUGAAAACUCCUUCACUUAUUAAGGGUCUCCUUUUCCAUAUGUUCAUCAUGGCCCACUUCACCCUUCAAUUACAAAACAGCUCUUUCUACUAAUUGUGAGAAGGUACAUUGUACCUGGUAUGUGUACUAAAAGCUACACCUUCUGAGGCUUAAUUUGGGGUCAGAGGAAAAGCAGACAGAUACACAGACAUAAAGUCUUAGCAAUGCUAUUCUCAUUUCAGGCAUAUUCAUUUUCAUUGCUACUAGUUAUGCUGCUGACUGGAGCACUCCAUCAUGGACCAUUUUGUUAGAGACAGCAAACCCUGCACCUGCAUGUCAUUACACCUGCACUGGCAAUGAGACAGCUGCUUUCCCACUGCUGCUGAAUAGCACCUCACUAGCAGAUAUUUAUUUCUGUGUACCUUCUACAUCUAUGGGAAAACACUGGUAAAUCUUAAAAUUUAUAACCUGAGUUAGAUUACAGUGUCUGGUCUAUGUAGUUGUAUCUGUGUUGGUUCAGGCCACAGUUAUUUCUUUUACCAUGUAUGAUUUUCUAUAAUGGGUCUUUAGUUCUUAAAAGACUAGUAAUAUAUUACUUGUGGAUACCAGAAUUCACACCAAGAUUGUAACAUGGAGAUGGAAGUUGGGAAGAAAAUGUACCCCAAGAAAGAGGUGUGAAAAAAAUUGCAUCUUUUUCUUGUUGAAAAUGUUAAAAUGUGCUUUUUGUUUUGAUUGCCUUAUGCCAAGUAACUACAAUCGUAAUCUUGACAAAAGAUUUGUGUUUAUGAGUAUCAGGACUAAUAUCUAGAGUUGGAUAAAUAAAUGGUCACACUCUGAAGCAGAUUUCACUGCUAUGGUAUUUAUUAUCAUAUCCUCUUUGUGGGCAACUUUGAGUUGGUUUAGGUCAUUAUCUUCUUCUUCAACACAUACAUUAUCUAAAGCCCUAUUCAAAAUUAAUACAUCACUAUGAAAUGAGGGAAAAAUGUCUCAUGUGGAUAAGGACAAAUGAAAGCUCCAGGUGCUUGAAGAAAUGCAUGCUCUAGUGGUGUCCCUACCGUUGCUUUAAACAUGAAUAUGCUUUUUUUUUUUUUUUUAAAUAAUGAAUUAAAAGAUGAUAAUUUUAGAACAUAUGUAGGGGCCGACAAUUCAUUUGAGUGAGUAGAAAUCUCUGGUUCCCUUGUCUAAACCCAAGAGGAAAAAUUCAUUCAAACCUCUGUUAAUAUUUUUUCCUUGGUUUUGUUGAAACUUCAUUUCAAUCAAGAUUUUCCAAGCAGUUCUAAGCAAGAAGAAAUGGAACAUCCUUAUCUUUUAAAAGGAAUAUUAAAGGAAGUAUUAUCUCAUUUCACUUCAUGCUGCAGCAUUUUAAAUAGUCACAUAAAACAUUAAAACUGAGGUAGCGCAGAGAAGUGCUGGCUGCAAACAUGCCACAUUUGUGUUUUCUGCCACUGGAAAUCCACUGAACAGAUGUUCUAGCCAAACUUGUGAUUUUUCAAAAGCCUUAACUCAUUUGUUCUUUAUAAAUUCUUCUGCUUAAGAUCAAGGACUGUUGCAAGAGAUCUGGAGUAAGACUUCAAAUUUGAAGUAGCCUUCACCCUGACAAGCAUCAGCAUCACCAUUGGAGGAGGUUUUGCAAUGAAGUCCAGAAUCUUCAGUGAGAUUAUCACUGGCAGCUAGUUCAUUCUGCCUUGGGCAUCUUCCCAGCACACAGAAGAAGGAACUAAAAUAGCUUUACACAGCCUUUACAAAAUGUCAUGUUAAUGGUGAGCCACAGCUCUUGUAGCAGAUGAUGAUGACCUGGUAAAACCAUGGCCAGACAUGGGGUUAUCCCAUCCCAGCUGCAGUCUGCACCCAACAUUCAGUUCCAGUGCUGGAAGAAACAACCAUACUGUCCCAUACAUACUUCUUACACAUGAUGGACCUGGUCAUGUGGACACCUGCACAGUGGAAGAUUUCACUGGAAAUCUAUUUUACAAGGAAGAUGAAAAACUAUUUUUUAUCGUGUUGAUACAUCCUUUGAUGGCUUUUUCAGAGUAAAGUGCUUUGACUUCAACCAAUAGCUUUUAAUUGUGCUUUAACACACUUGUCUUGGAAAUAACUGUAAAAGGAAAAAAAGGAUUUUCUAUUCCUCUUAAGUGAUUUUGAAAAACAACCCAGUCAUUUGCUAAGCCUACAUUGCACUGAGCUUUCAUUUUUAGCACUAAAGUCACAACAAAUGCAAUGUGGCUUCUAGAACAAUGAAAGUUCUAAAAUUUCAGAUUGCAUUACUGAAAAAAAAAAAAAAAAAAAAAGACUAAAAAACAAAGAAACAAAAAUAAUUAGUAACCUGGCCUAGUACUGGAAGUAAAACAAAUUGUUUGGUUGAGAAGCAGGUACCUACUAAAACAACUUGCAGAUCAAGAGGAGAAAUGAGGGGCUCCUUCUAUACAUGCACCUCCAUAUAUACAUAUGUAUCUGUGUUUAUAUGUAGAUGAUAUAUGCGUGUAUGUGCAUACAAAUGUGUAUAUAUGUCUAUGUGUGUUCAUAUACAAAUAAUGUUGUGACUGAAGUCAACAUCUUGAAUUUGGAAGGAGAGAAUAUAGCACACGACUUUUCUGAACACUGAAAAUUGACUAUGCUGCUGCUUGUUUGAAGUUUAAUAAUGUUUCAAAAGAUUAAGGUAUUUCAUAUUUGUAAAAAAUAUAGAUAUGUAUCACUUGUCUGGCCCUUCCUAUGAUAUGUCACGUCUGUGCCUGUUUUGAUUUGGGAUGGAUCAACAUUUUCAGGAUCAAAAGUAAUGAUUUAAAUUGGAGUCUGACAGACCUCUACAGUCCUACAAGUGGAGAUGUUAUUGUGAAGAAAAGUAAUUAGAUUGUCUCUGUCAGGGAGAGAUUUGGCCAGUCACACACAUCUCUUUCAUUAGCUAUUAGCUUCAUCAGCUUCAGGUGUUUUAUUUUCAGCUACAGCAUCACACUGAUCAAACUAUACCUUUUAUUCCCGUUAAUUAGGAACAUAGCAUCCUUCUCUUCUCAAAUUUUGGCACCUCAAAAGCAAUCAUAAAUAUCAGAUCCUUUGUCAGCUGAGCUGAACAUGAUAAUAAUUAUAUUUUUCCUUAUAACAGGAGAUCAAAGCUUGAGAAGAGGUGAUAUACACCUUUGGUAUUCAGACUCAAGCUUGGGGGUCAGUUGAACCUGGAGAAGUUAUUUUGCUGGUUUUAUAGCAUAAAGCUAUCUUUAAAAGUACUGUCCAGUGACACGUCAGUCCUGAACUGCAGGCCUAAAGCACCCUGGGUGCUUUGUUAAGGUGUGUGGGUUUUUCCUCUCACACGCUGUAAUUCAUUUGAAUGGGGCCCUGGCCAACAUGACAGUUGUCAGCUCUAUGGUUGUCAACCCUGUCCAUGGCAAGGAAGUUGGAACCAGGUGAUCUUUAAAAUCCCUUCCAACCCAAGCCAUUUUAUGACUGUAUGAUUCUAUGAAUACAAAAAAUUGGCAUGAAGUCAAGGCUCAGAUCUGUAAUGAUAUAAGGAAAACUUAGUAAUUUUAAACCCAGCUUUCAUAUGUACUGUUUUGAAAGGUUUUGAGAAGGAAUUUGUAUUUGCUUUCUCACCCUAAAUUCUAGCCACUGCUGGAGAGUGGUUGGAGAGUCUCUAACCUUAGGCUGUAAGUGGGAUUUCCUACUUCUCCCCUCUCUACUCUGCAUGUUUUUUUCCUGUUGUAAUGCAAAUCUCCAGAUCCAGGGGAACACCCUACCCUUCAUGGGAAUUCUCUCAGUGAGGAGGUCAGCUUCUAAAAGCUGCUUGUGUCUGCCCCAAGAAGAUGCACAAUACACAGAUGUUGGCUGUGACUGCAUGUUAUGAAUGUGUCCAUCAUUUUUCUGUGAUCACUUUAAGAUUGCCUCCCAGUGGGGCUGUGAACAAAUGUAAAUCUGUGUCCUUUCUCUUUUCAAAGACUUUCUCUUCUCUUUCCAAAUAGAAACUGCCAGAGGUGACAGGAGAGUCAGAUGAAUCCUCCAAGGAUUUCACAAGCAUAAGAAAAGAUCCUCCAGUGGCCACUGGCAGUGAGAGUGAGCUGCCGUAAAUCAGCAGUUUAGCAGGCAGAAGGUAGUCUGGCUAUGGUUG